rnacentral:lncRNA from 1 species
AUGUGGAUAUAUAAUUAUUCCUUGCUCUUAAUCAAGUCCUUAGUUUGGGAGGUGCGGGUGUCGUGGAUUGAGAUUGGCGUGGAAAUUUUGCAGCCUGUAUUAGGAGGUCCAAAGAUGUGUUUUUGGCCGAACAUGUUGAGGUGCUGGCGGUAUGUGAAGGCUUGUUGUGGUGUUUGGAGCUUAGACUUCUCAGCUUUUGGUCAUAUUAUUGAAGAUGCUAAGGCUCUCUUGAUUCCUCGACUAUCGGGGUGAUCAUCUCUCAUGUGCCUCGUUAA